rnacentral:rRNA from 1 species
GCGUGAAUGAAGAAGGCCUUAGGGUUGUAAAGUUCUUUCAAUGGUGAAGAUAAUGACGGUAACCAUACAAGAAGCCCCGGCUAAUUUCGUGCCAGCAGCCGCGGUAAUACGAAAGGGGCUAGCGUUGUUCGGAAUUACUGGGCGUAAAGCGCACGUAGGCGGCAUUGUAAGUUGGGGGUGAAAUCCCGAGGCUCAACCUCGGAACUGCCUCCAAAACUACAAAGCUAGAGGAUGUGAGAGGAUAGUGGAAUUCCGAGUGUAGAGGUGAAAUUCGU